GACCGUGUGGUUUAGUGGUAGAAUUCUUGCUUUGGGUGCAUGCGUCCCGGGUUCGAGUCCCGGCUCGGUCC
rfam:Edhazardia aedis TSNM 41457 supercont1.30, whole genome shotgun sequence.